CUCAAGAAACUUAAAGGAAGUUGACGGGGCCCGCACAAGCGGAGGAGCAUGUGGUUUAAUUCGAUGAUACGCGAGGAACCUUACCUGGGCUCGAACGUAAGAUGACUGUAGGUGAAAGCUUACAUCUCUUCGGAGCAUUUUACGAGGUGCUGCAUGGUUGUCGUCAGCUCGUGCCGUGAGGUGUCGGGUUAAGUCCCAUAACGAGCGCAACCCUACCUUUAGUUGCCAUCAGGUAAUGCUGGGGACUCUAAAGGAACUGCCUACGCAAGUAGUGAGGAAGCGGGGAUGACGUCAAAUCAGCACGGCCCUUACGUCCAGGGCUACACACGUGCUACAAUGGCCGAUACAGAGGGCAGCUACCUGGUGACAGGAUGCAAAUCUCCAAAGUCGGUCUCAGUUCGGAUCGGAGUCUGCAACCCGACUCCGUGAAGUUGGAUUCGCUAGUAAUCGCGCAUCAGCCAUGGCGCGGUGAAUACGUUCCCGGGCCUU
rnacentral:rRNA from 1 species